AUUGAACGCUGGCGGCAUGCCUUACACAUGCAAGUCGAACGGCAGCACGGGUGCUUGCACCUGGUGGCGAGUGGCGAACGGGUGAGUAAUACAUCGGAACAUGUCCUGUAGUGGGGGAUAGCCCGGCGAAAGCCGGAUUAAUACCGCAUACGAUCUACGGAUGACAGCGGGGGACCUUCGGGCCUCGCGCUAUAGGGUUGGCCGAUGGCUGAUUAGCUAGUUGGUGGGGUAAAGGCCUACCAAGGCGACGAUCAGUAGCUGGUCUGAGAGGACGACCAGCGACACUGAGACUGAGACACGGCCCAGACUCCUACGGGAGGCAGCAGUGGGGAAUUUUGGACAAUGGGCGAAAGCCUGAUCCAGCAAUGCCGCGUGUGUGAAGAAGGCCUUCGGGUUGUAAAGCACUUUUGUCCGGAAAGAAAUCCUUGGCCCUAAUACGGUCGGGGGAUGACGGUACCGGAAGAAUAAGCACCGGCUAACUACGUG
rnacentral:rRNA from 1 species